UGGUGCUAUAUGGGGAGUUAGCGGUGCCCUGUAACUCGCAAUCCGCUACAGCGAGAUAGAACGUCGUCCGAGGUUAUAUUAGGUUUAGGCAGUAGGGCAGCAAUAGUUGUUGAUAACAAGGUCUUAGGCAAUGUUGUGCCGUGAACCGUGUCAGAGUAGAGAUACAGCAGCACUAAGCGGAUUGCGUACAUGUGCCCUAAGGGAGCUUUGCGGGAGAUUGUUGUUGUCAAGUACGAUAGGUCUAGUAUAGACAGAGGCGAUGCACUG
rnacentral:SRP_RNA from 1 species